rnacentral:tRNA from 3 species
AACCCUCCCUAGUGCU